rnacentral:lncRNA from 1 species
GAAAACCAUAAUCUCCUCCUCGUUUAUUUAUACCAGGAACAAAAAUUCAGAGAUCAAAAGGAAAAAAUAAUUAAGUCUCAAGAAAAAUUGAGCUUAUUUGUUUAUGGCCUUCUUCGCAAUAAUUCUAGGGUUCGCCCUCGAGCAUUAUAUAAAUCUUAGUCACACUUCCAUGACCAUUCGUCCUCCUGCUUGAUGCGGUCCCUGGAGCUGCAAAGUCCGAUUUUAACGUUUCCUGCUCGUUCCGGUUCUUGGUUCCGCUGGACAUGAAAUAAAGCCGGGCCAGUAGUCUAGACAAAAUUUUGAUUAAUCUUACUUUCUUCAUGUUCUUUUUGUCGGAACUGGUGGGUUCAAUUGUCAAUCUCAACUUCUUGAUAUUUUUGAAUUUUGCAAUGCCAAGAAGAUCCAUGUUCGAUCUGAUCGGAUGUCCUUAAGAUUAAUUAGCUUCCGUUGAGUUCGUUGAUUAUGACAUUCUAUCAAGUCCAUGUACUCAAAGUUCAAAUAUGUGAUUUCUAAUUAUGCUUAGGUCCCAUGUCCCAGAAUUCCUUACGGCCACAAACUGUUUCAGUAAAGUUUUUGUUUGCGCUUUAUGAAUAUUUUCAUAUAUCAGAAUGGUCAUGAAUUUUUCGUGAGGACCAGAAAUACAACUUUCUGAUUGAAUUAUUGGUUUUGAUGAGAUCCUUCAUAGCUUUCUCCCAUGCAGGGUACCCUGCAUAGACUUUGCAUUCACCUGUCCUUUUUAUUUCCUACUAUAUUAUUUCUAGAACUAGCACCAAGGUAACUUCUAGUUCGUGUAAAGCGCUACAUUCAAUUUGAGCUUCAGUCUGCAUUUAAUUACCUUCUGAAGUUGUUAUUGCUGGGUUUAAGAGUUGGUAUAUGAUACAGGAACAUGAGCAAUACUGUUGGACACACCUUACCCCAGCAAGCUCUUUACCGGCCUUCUAUCAAAGAAAAUCAAAGUAAAGCUCAUCAAGGAGUUUCUGCAAACUUCUUGUGUGGAGUUCCAU